AGGCCGGAGCCCAGGGUCUGUCUGGCAGGCAGACAGGUGCCAGCAGCUCGCAGCCUGGCGUUCCCGCUCUGGGGGCCGUCCGGGAACAGAGGCGCGCGAAGUGCGCGUGCGCGGCGGCGGAGGCGGUGGCGGCGCGAGGCAGAGCCAGAGCCCGGGGUCGGUCAAUCAGAUUAGACUCCAGAGAUAAUGAUAUUAGGAAAUCCAAACUGAAAUGGACCCCAGAGCAAUUGAAGAAAGAAAGAGUCAAGACAAAAAAAAGUUGCUGAUUCCAGUCUAGAGGAAACAGUAAGGAAGAGAAAAGAGAAAUUCUCAUUAUAGCCAUGGCAAAGGAAGGGACAUUUUUAUGGACUACAUCUCUGCCUGGAUGGCUGUCUCUAACUGGAUUUUGCCAAUAUAUGCUGAGUAAGAUGUGACUUGCUCCUCCUUGCCUUCCACCAUGAUCAUGAGGCCUCCCCAACCAUGUGGAACUGGGGAGAUAUGAAAUUAUCCAGGAAUGGCAAUUUGACCACAAAAUACAUGAACAGAUGGUUCUUGCCUUUGAAUGGGAAAAGAUGCUGCCUAGUCCAUCUUGUAUUGGAAAAUGUUGUGACUCAGUGCAAAUUUUACACUUUUGGAUGCAUUUGGAUUUCUUGGAUGUUGUAAGCACUUCUCCUUCCUGCCACCACGUGAAGAAGGACAUGUUUGCUUCCUCUUCCACCAUGAUUGUAAGUUUCCUGAGGCCACCAAGUCCUGCAGAACUGAGAUUUUUACACCUAUCUGUGAUGCUAUCUUGUGACCAUGAGGAGUGCUAAGCUGAAUCACAAAUCCACCAUGCUGAGGACAGCACAACAAAGACUUGGGGACUUAAUGGUUUCAACCAGUCACUGGGUUAACAAACCCUGGAACAAUCCCACCUCAAAACUUCAGUUACCUGUCCUGCUGACGUCAGACCCAGCACCAGGUGCAGAAGCAACCAUCAUACAAAAAUCAAGCUUCCUUAAUUAUGUCUACUGCAGUUUGCUGGGGGUCCACUCCAAACCCUGUUUGCCUGGGUAUCACCAGUGAAGGCUGCAGAACAGUGAAGAUUGCUUCCUGCUCCUUCCUCCAGAAGCUUUUUCACAGAGGGGCAUCACCCUGAUGCCAGCCAGAACUCUCCUGUAUAAGGUGCCUGGUGACCCCUGUUGGGAGGUCUCACCCAGUCAGCAGGCCUGGGAUCAGGGACCUGCUUAAGGAAGCAGGCUGGCUAUCCCUUAGCAUAGCUGGUACACUGUGCUGGGUGAAUCCCCCUUGUCCGGAUCACCCAAAUUCUUCAGAGCCAGCAGGCAGGAAAGAUUAAGUCCACUGAACCUGAGACUGCAGGCACCCCUCCCCACAGGGCUCUGUCGUAGGGAGAUGAGAGUUCUGUCUAUAAGCCCCUCACUGGAGUGCUGGAAUUCCUGCAGGGAGGCCCUGCCCAGUGACGAGGAAUGGAUCCAAGUCCCACCUAAAUAAUCAGUCUGGCUACGAUCUGCCACAGCCACUGUGCUGCACUGUGGGGAGUACCACCCAGUCCAAACUGCCCAGCCUUCCUAGCACUGGCAGGCGAAAACUGCUGAUUAGAGCCACAGUGAUGGUGGUUGCCCCUCCCCCCAGGAACUCCGUCAUCUUAGGCCAACUCCAGGCUGCUGUGACUGGCCAGCAGGGAUUCCAAGCCAGUGGGUCUUAGUUUGCAGGGUUCCAUGGGAGUGGGUCCCACUGAGCAAGGUUGUUUGGCUCCCUGGUUUCAGCCCCCUUUCAAAAGGAGUGGAAGGUUCUCCUACCUCACAAGAGUUCCGAGAGCAACCGGAGUAUGUAACAACUCCUGCUGCUCAGUGCUUCCCUGAACGGCUGCUGACUGGAGCAGCCGCCAUGGGUCUGCCCAGUUUUGUGCUUGAGACCCAAGGCACUGGUGGUGUAGGCUUACGAGGGAAUCUCCUGAUGCAUGGAUUGCAAAAAUCCGUAGGAAAAGCCUACUACCCCAGACGGGUAGCACAUUCCCUCACUGCCUUCCUUGGCUGGGGGAGGGAGUUUCCUCCCAGGUGAACCGUUAUUCCACCUGCUGCUUUUCCUUGCUCUUUGUGGGUCACACGAACCGCCUAGUCAGUCCCAAUGAGAUGAACUGGGUACCUCAGUUGGAAAUGCAGAAAUCACUCGCCUUUUGCAUUCGUCUCAAUGGGAGCUGCAGAACAGAGCUGUUUCUACUCAGCCAUCUUGGCCCCUCCCCCCAAAAGAAAAUUUUGAAAGAAGCCAGGGAAAAAACAUACAGUAUAUACAGAUGAACAAAGAAAAGGAUUAUACGGCCGGGCACAGUGGCUCAC
rnacentral:lncRNA from 1 species